AGUAGUACUUAUCGUUCCAGCUAACAUAUUUCUUUUUCAACUAUUGACAACGAAAUACCGUAAUGGAAUUGAUUAGUUGCUACUUCAAUCUUAAUCAACUAGUAUAAAUAAUACCCAAGUCUUAUUUUCCAUCAUCAGAAUUUUACCUUAUCUUAAAAAACACAAAAAAAACACAUUCAAAUGGCGAGAGCUACCAUAUCCACGUUCAUCAUGAUCGCCUUUGUGUUAGCUGUUUUCCUCAACAUCUCAGCCCUCGCGGUCGCCGUUGAUGCUACAUGUAUGACGGCAGGCCAAGGUUGUGGUGGUUUUGCUGGAGCCGAAUGCUGCGAAGGACUUGAAUGUGAACUUGAGGAAUAUUCGACUUAUGGGGCAUGUGUACAAAGUCCCGACAAACCAAGUUAUUAACACGCUACUUUCCACUGAAUAUGGAACGAAGUGCUUCUCAUGUUUUUUAAGUUUCAUCUGUAAUUCUCUUUGUUAAUUGUUGAGGAAAUACAUGAUGAAAUAAAUUUACUCAAUAAUAUAAUAGUUGAUCUGUCUUCUUUCAAAUUUCAAUCAAGGAAUUUUGGAAGAUAAUUUUGUUUA